CCCAGACUCCUACGGGAGGCAGCAGUGGGGGAUAUUGCACAAUGGGGGGAGCCCUGAUGCAGCGACGCCGCGUGGGUGAAGGAGCGUUUCGGCGCGUAAAGCCCUAUCGGCAGGGAAGAAGGAGGACGGUACCUGACUAAGAAGCCCCGGCUAACUACGUGCCAGCAGCCGCGGUAAUACGUAGGGGGCAAGCGUUAUCCGGAUUUACUGGGUGUAAAGGGGGCGCAGACGGCAGCGCAAGCCAGGAGUGAAAGCCCGGGGCCCAACCCCGGGACUGCUCUUGGAACUGCGCGGCUGGAGUGCAGGAGGGGCAGGCGGAAUUCCUGGUGUAGCGGUGAAAUGCGUAGAUAUCAGGAGGAACACCGGUGGCGAAGGCGGCCUGCUGGACUGCGACUGACGUUGAGGCCCGAAAGCGUGGGGAGCAAACAGGAUUAGAUACCCUGGUAC
rnacentral:rRNA from 1 species